rnacentral:rRNA from 1 species
AGUGGGGGAUAACACAUCGAAAGAUGUGCUAAUACCGCAUAUGCCCUGAGGGGGAAAGGGGGGGAUCCGCAAGGACCUCUUGCUUUCGGAGUGGCCGAUAUCGGAUUAGCUAGUUGGUGAGGUAAAGGCUCACCAAGGCGACGAUCCGUAGCUGGUCUGAGAGGACGACCAGCCACACUGGAACUGAGACACGGUCCAGACUCCUACGGGAGGCAGCAGUGGGGAAUUUUGGACAAUGGGCGCAAGCCUGAUCCAGCCAUACCGCGUGAGUGAAGAAGGCCUUCGGGUUGUAAAGCUCUUUCAGCCGGAAAGAAAUCACACUUAUUAACACUGAGUGUGGAUGACGGUACCGGAAGAAGAAGCACCGGCUAACUACGUGCCAGCAGCCGCGGUAAUACGUAGGGUGCGAGCGUUAAUCGGAAUUACUGGGCGUAAAGCGUGCGCAGGCGGCUUUUUAAGCCAGAUGUGAAAUCCCCGGGCUUAACCUGGGAACUGCAUUUGGAACUGGAAGGCUAGAGUGUAGAAGAGGGGGGUAGAAUUCCG